UGCCCGGUGAUUAGUUUUUAACGGCCGCGGUAUCUUGACCGUGCAAAGGUAGCAUAAUAAUUUGCCUUUUAAUUGGUGGCUGGAAUGAAGGAAUUCAUGAAAUUAUUACUGUCUCUUACCCACAUUUAAAAUUUGUUUUUCGAGUGAAGAUUCUCGUAUGUUAAUGAAGGACAAAAAGACCCUAUUGAUCUUUAUUUUAAGUAAAAUUUUUAGUAGACUUAUUUACUUUCUUUAAUUUACAUUAAAUUUGGCUGGGGCGGCAAAGAAAUACAACAAAUCUUUCUUGUAUAUUUUGAAUCAUAAUUCUUACAAAAGAUCUAUUGUUAGUUAGAAGAAAUAGUUACCAUAGGGAUAACAGGCUAAUUCUUUUAGAGAGUUCAUAUUGAUAUAAGAGUUUG
rnacentral:rRNA from 1 species